AGGGCAACCAUCUUGGAUUCAGUCUGGUAGAUGACUGCAAGGGCAAAAGCCUUCUUUUCUGCAACCAGAAAUGAGAUAUGGCUAAUAUCUCACUGCUACUAUUUGUUGCAGCUAUCUUUGGGAAUCUACCAUGCAAAGCGCCUUCUCCUACCAUCAUUACACUGUGACUAUAUUGGGACACCACCUUGAAGAAUUUUUAGUUGAAUGAAUCGACCCCA